rnacentral:rRNA from 1 species
UACAGAGGUCUCAAGCGUUUGUUCGGAUUCAUUGGGCGUAAAGGGUGCGUAGGCGGCGCGCUAAGUCAGGUGUGAAAUUUCGGAGCUUAACUCCGAAACUGCAUUUGAUACUGGCGUGCUUGAGGACUGGAGAGGAGACUGGAAUUCACGGUGUAGCAGUGAAAUGCGUAGAUAUCGUGAGGAAGACCAGUGGCGAAGGCGGGUCUCUGGACAGUUCCUGACACUGAGGCACGAAGGCCAGGGGAGCAAACGGG